GAUGAACGCUGGCGGCGUGCUUAACACAUGCAAGUCGAACGAAGCACUUUGACCUCUUCGGAGUGAUGAGUGACUGAGUGGCGGACGGGUGAGUAACGCGUGGGUAACCUGCCUCGUACAGGGGGACAACAGUUGGAAACGACUGCUAAUACCGCAUAAGCGCACGGUAUCGCAUGAUACAGUGUGAAAAGCUGAGGCGGUACGAGAUGGACCCGCGUUGGAUUAGCCAGUUGGUGAAGUAACGGCCCACCAAGGCAAUGAUGGGUAGCCGGCCUGAGAGGGUGAACGGCCACAAGGGGACUGAGACACGGCCCUU
rnacentral:rRNA from 1 species